rnacentral:lncRNA from 1 species
CACAGGCAGAGUUUUUACGGAGCAUACAGACCGUGGCGCAGCAGAGCUGGAGUACAAAGCACAGAUGUGAAGGAUCCAGACCAUUUGUCCUGAACCUCAGUCUCUCCUCUGUAUACAGAACGACUGCACAAUUUACAAGUGUCCCACCAUGUUCACCUGUCUGGGAAUGGACUCUGUGAGAUCAACCUGACUUGCUCUGUGGAGAACCCAAAUGAGGCUGUCUCAUUUGGGUGGCAGGUCUCAGAAACUACCUCUCUAAGUGAACCAAACCUCACUGUCUUCUGGGAUCCCGAGAAUUCCAGUGAUGAGAGCUACAUGUGCAUAGCAGAGAACCCUGUCAGCAAUUUAUCUUGCCCAGUCUCUGCCAAGAGUCUCUGCAAAGAUAUUUUAACUAAAGAAAAUCUAUACUGGAAUGAUCUACUCUGGAUUAUAAUCUGUGGGAUACUUAUAAUCAUCAUUGUGUUGAUACUUGCUUGCAGGAAAAGAACAGGAUCCCUUCAUUUGCUUACUCAGCAAACUCAGCAUCCUGCAGAGACAUCAGAGGACAUAGAGCUUGCUUCCAUCUCUCCAGGGAGCACUGUGUAUGCGCAGGUCACUCAUCCAUACCGGGAAAUGGAAAUCCUAACACAUAUAAAAAGCAGUGAUUCUGUUACAAUCUAUUCCACAAUUAAUCAUUCCAAACAGAAUAAGCCCACUUCUCCCAGAGCAACUGCACUUUAACACCAUCAAGUUGCAGAUAAGCUUCAAAGAAAUUUAGGAAUGAUGGGUCUCCUGAUACCAUGGAAGACAAAAAAAAAAGAAGAAGAAGAAGAAGAAACUUGGUUUUUUGCCUAAUAACAGAAUCUGAAUCCCAGGCAGGAUCACCACAUCCAGUCUUCAGUCUUGAGCCUGUUUACUAGGCCAAACACUUAAGGAGUAACAUCACCUCCAGGAUAUGAACCAAGUAAUGAUUUCCAGUUGACUCCAGGACAACGCGUGCUUUGUAACACAC